rnacentral:rRNA from 1 species
AAAUUGAAGAGUUUGAUCAUGGCUCAGAUUGAACGCUGGCGGCAGGCCUAACACAUGCAAGUCGAGCGGAAACGAGUUAUCAGAACCUUCGGGGGACGAUAACGGCGUCGAGCGGCGGACGGGUGAGUAAUGCCUAGGAAAUUGCCCUGAUGUGGGGGAUAACCAUUGGAAACGAUGGCUAAUACCGCAUGAUGCCUACGGGCCAAAGAGG